CUCACUAACACGUGCCUUUCCUGCCCUAUCGUUGGAAAUAACCUCGGGAAACUGAGAGCAAGGCCGGAUAGUUCACAAUGCCGGGAACGGUUUGUGAAUCAUGGUAGGAUGGGUCGGCGACGUAUCAGGUUGAAGGGGGUGUAACGGACCCCCUAGCCAUCAACCCGUACGGUUGUGGGAAUACAUAGCCCGAAGAUGGUUUCUAAGACAGAAAUCCAAACCCUAGGGGUUGCAGCAGGCGCUAAACCUUCUUGCUGAAGAAAACUGUGAUGAGGGAACUCCAGUUGCGUGCGUUUUACAUACACUUUUCAGAAUUCUUAAUCGGUUCAGGAAUAAGGGCUGGAAAAGACCGUGGCCAGCCGCCGCGUUAAUACCGGCAGCUCAGGUGUUCUUCGUUUUUAUUGUUCCUAAAACGUCCGUAGCCUGUUUGGUAAAUCUGUGGCUAAAUCAACCCCCUCAAGGGGUUGAAUUCUGCAAAGACUGCAAAAAUAAGGACCGGAAGAGGUGUGGGGUACUCGAGGGUCAAAGAUAAAAUUUUGUCUUCCUUCGAGGACCACCAGUUGCGAAGGCGCCACAAUGAAACGGAUUCCACGGUCUGGGACAACCCCUAGGGGCACGAACAGAAUUAUUACCCCGGGUACUCCUAGGUGUAAACGCUGU
rnacentral:rRNA from 1 species